rnacentral:snRNA from 1 species
AGCUUUGCGCAGUGGCAGUAUCGUAGCCAAUGAGGUUUAUCCGAGGCGCGAUUAUUGCUAAUUGAAAACUUACUGCCCGAAUCUGCCAACUGGUCACUAAUGCUCACAGCAACUUUGCCCCAAUAGCCCCCCUGGGAACCCAGGCAGACUUUGUUAGAUUAAUUGCAGA